rnacentral:rRNA from 1 species
GUGUCAGCCGCCGCGGUAACACGGGGGGAGCAAGCGUUGUUCGGAUUCAUUGGGCGUAAAGGGCUCGUAGGCCGCUCUGUAAGUCGGAAGUGAAAGACCACGGCUCAACCGUGGAACCGCUUUCGAAACUGCGGAGCUUGAGGCCGGGAGAGGAGAUUGGAAUUCCUGGUGUAGCGGUGAAAUGCGUAGACAUCAGGAGGAACACCCGUGGCGAAGGCGAAUCUCUGGACCGGUUCUGACGCUGAUGAGCGAAAGCUAGGGGAGCAAACAGGAUUAGAAACCCGUGUAGUCC